UUUUCAGAACUCAGGAGAUGUAGAGUUCACAUUUAAUUUUCUUAAUUUGUCUACAGAUGGUUCUCCUUUUAAAAAAAAAAUUAUCAAAAGUAAGUUAGAAAAAGGAGGAAGGAAGGAAGGGGGAGGUGAGCGAAAAGUUAGAGAGGGAGAGAGAGAAAGAGAGUCAAACGCAGUGAACGAGAGGAGACGCAGAUGAGAAAAACAGACGCUGUGGAUGGCCUGGGUGGAGAGAGAACCAGUUGUUUUCUAAGUCGCCUUUCAGACUGGAAUGCACUCAGAGAAUUUGAGAUUCCCGACGCCUUAUUGCCAACUUUGCUUGCGACGCGCGCCGGGACCCGCCGACGGAUCAUGCCUGCAUAUGGAGUCCAGCAUAGCCCCGUUCCCGAAGGAGUUGGGGUUGGAGCGUGCAGAGAGGACUGCAGCAUCCCCAGCGUGGCAGGUUUACACCGAGGAGAUCCGGCAUCCGUUCUACAGGUGGGACUCGCCGUGCGUUCGAGAGAUCUGGCAGGAGUGCGGAUGUGUCCAGCGGUGGUAUUACCCAGAGAUGUUGCAUCCCUUCAACGGCGACCAUGUUUUGAAGGUCAGACGUCACCGGUGCCACCCAUCCUACAUCCAGGAGUGGGACAACGUUCAUCAGUCUGAAUACAAUGGACACUGCGAGAGGAGACGAGUGUCGUUCCGGCAUCACGAGGAACGACCUGAGACUGGCGGACAAUUACACUGUAACGGGCCGAACUCUGGACAGGCGACUUUUUUCCCAACCGAGGUGCCCUCCAGCAAGUUGGGAUGCUCCAGGGCACUCGGGAAUGGGCUGCAGGUGAACGGACCACAGCGGGAAGUAAGGACGCCUCGGGGGGAAGAGGGUCUGGAGAAACAUGGCAAGCAGAGGAAGAGCCAGGGAACAGUACGGGAACAGAUCAAACAUGUGGUCACGGAGCUCGAGGAAGUGCUGGGUGGUCUCAAACAGGUCCAGUUGGAGAUGAAAGAGGUUGUCCAAAAGAUCGACAUUCUAACGUCCAAUAUUGACCUUGGAGAAGACGAACCAAGUCUAUCCAAUGGACUGUUCCAAGAUGCCACCAAAAGCAGUCAGUCUAGUGUUGUUGCAUUGAUCCACAAUUCAAACGGCGAAGAGGACAUGUCAACUUCCAAUUCCUCUCUCGAACACAGCCCUGUCACUGUGGAUUUAAUUCACAUUAACGGUCCUUUGCCGAUGAGAAACCGCACAAGCCCAUCACCUCCUGAGCAACGAUCCGUUACUGUUCAGGAUACAGGCAAACGAGUUGUGAAACAGAGCUCAGAGACUCAAAGGACAGCAAAUGGAAACUGCCUACUGCAUCAAACGGCAAGGAAAGCCCAAUUGGAAAACCACAGACCCCCUGUAGCUCCAGUAGUGUGCACUAACUCCAAUAAAACCCACCGGCCUCCACCUUACCCUCAGAACGGACAGGUGAAGAUGAGGACCCCUCCCUAUCCUGGAAAACAUAAGAUGCUCUCCUCCACCAUAGUGGACUGA
rnacentral:lncRNA from 1 species